AUGCCUACGGGACGCAGCAGUGAGGAAUAUUGGUCAAUGGGCGGGAGCCUGAACCAGCCAAGUCGCGUGAGGGAAGACGGUCCUAUGGAUUGUAAACCUCUUUAGGCGGGGAGCAAUGCCGGACACGCGUGCCCGGAGGGAGAGUACCCGCAGAAUAAGCAUCGGCUAACUCCGUGCCAGCAGCCGCGGUAAUACGGAGGAUGCGAGCGUUAUCCGGAUUUACUGGGUGUAAAGGGCGUGUAGGCGGGACUGCAAGUCAGAUGUGAAAAUUAUGGGCUCAACCCAUAACCUGCAUUUGAAACUGU
rnacentral:rRNA from 1 species